rnacentral:lncRNA from 1 species
CAUUCUGACUUGAAACCUCUCUUCUGAUCCAGGAACAACUAUCCUGAGCUGCUGUUCGUGAUUCAGGUUGGCAUCAAUCAAAUUGGAAGCACAUGAAUUAUACAUUAUUGUUUCUGAGCCACAGGUGGGUAUUCUGUUUCUAGCUGCUCAAAUGAGUUGCCUCAUUCCUUAUUGCUUCCUACUAAUAUUCUCAUCUUCCAGUUUUUUGUUUUUAUCUGCUAAAGACAUGAAGAAUGGGAACACUACCAUUGCAUCUCCCAGCCCCAGAGAAGGAUGUUCACUCCCAUGUUCUCACCUUUUUUUGAUGGCUAUAACUUUGUCAUUCAUAUUUUUAAAAAAUUGUGGGUAGAUGUUUUGGAUUUUUUUAAGAUAUACAGUAAAUACCAACUUCUUAAAUUUUCCCUCGCUGCUUCCAGAGGAGGCUGGUAUAUUUUUUCUCUGUUCAACAAAGAGAGAAGUAUCAAGUUUCAGGCUCCCUUCAAAUCAAGACAGUUCGUGUGUAUCUUUGUGGUUCAUAAUCUGAAAACAAAGCACAUUCUGUGUGACUGAGAUGGGAUCCUAGGGGCUGGAAACCAUCACUGAUUGCCUGUACUGUCCUUCUCCUGUCGUACCAUACCCUUUUCUUUUAAUAAAGACUUAUGUGAGUAUA